CUACGGAGGGUCCAAGCGUUAUCCGGAAUCAUUGGGUUUAAAGGGUCCGCAGGCGGUCAAUUAAGUCAGAGGUGAAAGCGCAUCGCUCAACGAUGGAACUGCCCUUGAUACUGGUUGACUUGAGUUAUACGGAAGUAGAUAGAAUAAGUAGUGUAGCGGUGAAAUGCAUAGAUAUUACUUAGAAUACCGAUUGCGAAGGCAGUCUACUACGUAUAUACUGACGCUGAGGGACGAAAGCGUGGGGAGCGAACAGGAUGAGAAACCCUAGUAGUCC
rnacentral:rRNA from 1 species